UUUUGAUCUAUAGACGAAUUAAGUCACAGCAACACGGUCAUACUGUGUUUUCCAAGCUGCAUGACAUCAUCAAAUAACUGCUUAGAAACAACGUAUUUAUCGAUUCAUUUAACUCCACAAGAUCCCUGUGAGGGACAUUUCAUCAUAGCCGUUUUACAGAUGAGGAAACGGGCCGAGAGGCAGGCACGGGACCGUCCGGCACAAGCCAUCCUUGCCACCUUCCGUGAAAUCGGACUGGAGCACAAAACUGCCCAGGUAGAGGCCACCUUGUCUCAGCACUCCCCCGACACCUCCCUCCUGAGAUGAGGCGUGGCCCUGUCCACACCAGGUUUCCAAGGGAAAAAGAGCCAAGCGAUGGGGGUAACGGUCACCUCACUUGUUUGGCAACGGCUCGUCCCGGACUCGGUCCCUUUCCCCUUCUCCCCGUGACCCGGCAUGUGGACGUGCCAUAACUCACUUUCAAUCAUGAAAGCCAGGACAACACCCAGAGGCUGCCCCACGCCCUGGACUGCUCACCUCAGUCCCUCCUCUCUUCUCUAAUUCAUGGUAAGCAGCCUAGCUUUGGUCGUGGUGCGCCAAGGUCGCCCAGCGCGGUGGUGGACGGGCCCGGCGGUAGACUCCAGGUUCUAAUACAUCACUCUAUGUGCCAGGCCCUGUCUCCAGGUACCAGGGUUGAAGCAAUGAACGAGACCACCAAGGAUGCCCACCCAAAGGUGGAUCUCUUAAAAACGUCCAUCCUGUCAUCACCCCCUGCUCCAAGCCCUCCACGGCUUCCCACGGCCAUCAGGAUAAAGGCCACUCUGCUCUCUGUGGCUUUCAAAGUCGUACACAGUGAGGCCCCUGCAGCCUUCAAUGUCACCUGUGUCCUUUCCUGCACUCACUCCCCGGGACACUGCCUGCCUGUGACCCUCAAGCAGGACAAACUCUCUGCUGCCUCAGGGCCAUUGCACAUGCUGUCCCCUCUGUCUACAGCACUCUUCUGGAUCUGAAGCCACCUCUCCAGAAAAGCCUUCUCCAAUCAAUGCCCCAUGGAAGCCUUCGGAUCUGAACUCGAAUACGCACUGCUUCGGGAAGCCCUCCCCGGCCCUCGCUCUAGCUCUGGGCGCCUGCAGCUCUGUCGGCUUCCCCCAUCCCAGCCCUGACCGCUCUGGGUUCUCACGCUCCGCCUUCCUCUGCGCUUCCUCUCUGCUGAGUCUUCUGCAGUGCCCGGGACCCGUAAAGAUGAGGAAACUGAGGCUCAGGGAGGUGAUGCUGCUUGCCCAGGGUCUCACAAGCUGGGAAACGGCAGAGCAGGGAGUGAGGGUCCCAGACUACAAUCCCAGGAGCCAGGAGCCUAACCCUGUGCUCGUUGCCAGCCUGACAGCGAACGCUGCCACCCCAUCACCACCACUGCCACCAUUUCCAGAAGCACUGGCACUGGGACAGGCGCUCCCGGUACC